rnacentral:tRNA from 1 species
GCGGGUAUAGUUUAGUGGUAGAACAUUUGGUUGCCAAUCAGAUGGCGUGAGUUCGAUUCUCACUACCCGCACCA